rnacentral:rRNA from 1 species
GAGUAAUGUCUGGGAAACUGCCUGAUGGAGGGGGAUAACUACUGGAAACGGUAGCUAAUACCGCAUAACGUCGCAAGACCAAAGAGGGGGACCUUCGGGCCUCUUGCCAUCGGAUGUGCCCAGAUGGGAUUAGCUAGUAGGUGGGGUAACGGCUCACCUAGGCGACGAUCCCUAGCUGGUCUGAGAGGAUGACCAGCCACACUGGAACUGAGACACGGUCCAGACUCCUACGGGAGGCAGCAGUGGGGAAUAUUGCACAAUGGGCGCAAGCCUGAUGCAGCCAUGCCGCGUGUAUGAAGAAGGCCUUCGGGUUGUAAAGUACUUUCAGCGGGGAGGAAGGGAGUAAAGUUAAUACCUUUGCUCAUUGACGUUACCCGCAGAAGAAGCACCGGCUAACUCCGUGCCAGCAGCCGCGGUAAUACGGAGGGUGCAAGCGUUAAUCGGAAUUACUGGGCGUAAAGCGCACGCAGGCGGUUUGUUAAGUCAGAUGUGAAAUCCCCGGGCUCAACCUGGGAACUGCAUCUGAUACUGGCAAGCUUGAGUCUCGUAGAGGGGGGUAGAAUUCCAGGUGUAGCGGUGAAAUGCGUAGAGAUCUGGAGGAAUACCGGUGGC